GUCUGGUUGUGGGAAGAGAUUAUAUGUUCCUUGAUGGAGGCCUGUUGCUUAUGCAUCGUUAAUCGCCUGGAAAGAGAUGUUGUUGUCUUACCUUGUUUAAAUGAGUGAGGUUUAUAUUUCUGUUGUUGCUUUUGUUUAUGUUGCUAUGUUUGUUGCCUUUAUUGCCAAUAUUUCUGUUGUUGUUCCUAUUACUGUUUCUAUUCCUACUUGUUUCUGUUGAGACUCACAUUUAUGUUGAUGCUCCUCUUUCUGUUGCUGUUGUUUCUGAGCUUAGUUGCAUAUAUGUUAAUAAAUAUAUCUAUCUGUGUCUCCCACAAAAAAGACACUCACAGUUGCCUAUAAAAGAAAGUAAACAGACAGUUUGAAGCACAGGAAAUAGCCUGAGCCAGAAUAAUACAGACAUUCCAACAAUAACAGAGGGAUUCCCCUCUCCCAUAAAUAGCUUCCCAAAUCUUCGGCACCUUUCAAAUUAUUCCAUACUCGUCACCUGAGGAUUUCGCGUAUAUUAUUAUUGUCCUUAUCAUCACAUUUCUCAUAACUCUUUCUUUAUGAGCAUAGAAUUCACUAUUCCGCGCCGCACAGGUAGAGCUCAAAUGAAUUUCCUCCCCGUGUCUGCGUGGUUGUACUGAGCACCUGGCAACCAUAAUGACGACACUCUAAGAGGGUGUCGAGGCUUAUAUACCGGAGAAGCGCGCUGAGAGGCACCACUUGGGGACCUAGAGAGUUCAGUUGCUGCAGUCAGUCACCAUGAACUAUCUCAGAAUCUUGAUACUGGUGGUAGUGUUGAUGGCCGCUGUGUGCGGGACCAUGGCCAACCCUGAGCCUUUCGCACGACGUAGAGGUGGUGGUGGUCGUGGAGGUGGUAGUCGGGGAGGUGGUGGUCGGGGCGGUGGUGGUCGUGGCGGUGGAGGACGUGGUGGUGGUGGGGGUCGUGGCGGCGGCCGUGGGUAGAGGUGCACUCGAGGGCUGGCUGAUAGCGGGGCAGUCAUGGCGGCCAUGGCAGCGGCCAUUAUGGUGGUUAUGGCGGCCAUGGCUGUGGCCACCUCAUGCCGUCCACUGAUGCCACUCAUUACAACGUUGAAACAUCUACAAAACCCCAGUCUUACCUGUUAAACGACAUAGUACGAAAAUAUGUAUGUUAAACAAGCAUAAACCAGAUAUCAAACUCUA